UUUUGUGGGAAAAAUUUGGUUGAUUAUAUAGGGAAUCACUGAAGCAUGACUGGAGUGGGCCCCACCCCCUUAGUUAUAAAAAGUUCUGGAUCCGCCACUGUUUACUGUCACAUCACUAGGUAAAUACAGAAUUCUCCUAAAUGUAUAAGCUAAUUGUUUGCAAAACUCUUUGAAUACUUAUUAUAGUCUUGCAUCCACAUGCUAUUAACAUGAUUAAUAAAGUACUGUUUUCUCCCUUUCAGCAGUACAUUGUAUUACAACAAAUGGACAGAGGAGUUGACUAUUGAUAGUGACUGAUAAUGGACUGGAGUAACCUAGGGUCCAAUGACUCCAUGCCUGACAGUCCAUGUGUACAUAAUUAGCUCCUCAGAUGUAAGUGGAAGGGAAGCUAUAUACAUUAUAUGUUUAAAUGAAAUUAACAACAGGAUUAGAUAUUGAGGAGAUCCUAUAGCUACAGUAUAUAUAAAUGUAACUGCAACUGUAUUCCAAGAGUCUGAUGGCUGAUAAUGUAUUACAGGAUUUUAUCAUUCAAGCAAGAUCUAAGAAGGAUAAGUGCAAAUGUAUGAAGGAAGCCUUGGGUACAAAUAGCAAUUACAGCAAUUACAUGCAGUACUCUUAAACAUUACUAAAGACAUGUAGUCAUUAUAUGGGAGUGGUGUAUUUAAGAAAUCUAAACACAUGAAAUUAAAUAUUGUGUAUAUUAUUUCAACCACAAGUACUCUCAGAAUAUAAUACAAUUCAAAUUCAAAUUAUUGUGUCAACAUGACAAUUAUAGUCUAAAAAUGGAAAAUGCAUGUUUUAAACUGAAUUUUAUAUAAAUAUUUGAAAUAACAAGAAUUUUUAGUUUAUUGUGCAGCCAAACUUUGAGAUCUUCUAAUGGUAUAUGCCUGUUGUUUGUCAACAUUUGUUUUCUUUUUGCCUUAACCUUAUUAAGAUU